rnacentral:rRNA from 1 species
UAGGGAAUCUUCGGCAAUGGGGGGAACCCUGACCGAGCAACGCCGCGUGAGUGAAGAAGGUUUUCGGAUCGUAAAGCUCUGUUGUUAAGGAAGAACGAGUGUGAGAAUGGAAAGUUCAUGCUGUGACGGUACUUAACCAGAAAGGGACGGCUAACUACGUGCCAGCAGCCGCGGUAAUACGUAGGUCCCGAGCGUUGUCCGGAUUUAUUGGGCGUAAAGCGAGCGCAGGCGGUUAGAAAAGUCUGAAGUGAAAGGCAGUGGCUCAACCAUUGUAGGCUUUGGAAACUGUUUAACUUGAGUGCAGAAGGGGAGAGCGGAAUUCCAUGUGUAGCGGUGAAAUGCGUAGAUAUAUGGAGGAACACCGGUGGCGAAAGCGGCUCUCUGGUCUGUAACUGACGCUGAGGCUCGAAAGCGUGGGGAGCGAACAGG